rnacentral:RNase_P_RNA from 1 species
CGGAGCGGGUGCAUGAUCGCUCCGGCUUUUUCAGUCGGGGAGGAAAGUCCGAACUCCGCAGGGCAGGAUGGUUCGUAACACGAACGUCGGGCAACCGGUGGAAAGUGCCACAGAAAAGAUACCGCCCGCGAUUAACGGGUAAGGGUGAAAUGGCGAGGUAAGAGCUCACCGCUCUUGUGGUGACAUGAGAGGCAGGGUAAACCCCAUCCGGAGCAAGGCCAAAUAGGGAGAUGUUCGAGGGCUGCCCGUCCGAAGUCUCCGGGUAGGCCGCAAGAGGCGGCGGGCGACCGUCGUCCCAGUUAAAUGAUCAUGACCGUUACGGUACAGAAUUCGGCUUAUAGCCCGCUCCUCUCA